rnacentral:rRNA from 1 species
CCUACGGGUGGCUGCAGUGAGGAAUAUUGGUCAAUGGCCGGGAGGCUGAACCAGCCAAGCCGCGUGAGGGAAGAAGGUACUACGGAUUGUAAACCUCUUUUGUCAGGGAGCAAAGUGUGGGUCGCGACCCGCGGUGAGAGUACCUGAAGAAAAAGCAUCGGCUAACUCCGUGCCAGCAGCCGCGGUAAUACGGAGGAUGCGAGCGUUAUCCGGAUUUAUUGGGUUUAAAGGGUGCGCAGGCGGUGGAAUAAGUCAGCGGUAAAAGCGCGGGGCUCAACCCCGGGCCGCCGUUGAACCUGGGUGCCUUGAGUGCGAGAAGGGUAUGCGGAAUGCGUGGUGUAGCGGUGAAAUGCAUAGAUAUCACGCAGAACUCCGAUCGCGAAGGCAGCCUACCGGCGCGCAACUGACGCUCAGGCACGAAAGCGUGGGUAUCGAACAGGAUUAGAUACCCUAGUAGUC